GAUGAAGAACGUAGCGAAAUGCGAUAAGUAAUGUGAAUUGCAGAAUUCAGUGAAUCAUCGAAUCUUUGAACGCACAUUGCGCCCGCCAGCAUUCUGGCGGGCAUGCCUGUUCGAGCGUCAUUUCAACCCUCGAGCCCCCCCGGGGGCCUCGGUGUUGGGGGACGGCACACCAGCCGCCCCCGAAAUGCAGUGGCGACCCCGCCGCAGCCUCCCCUGCGUAGUAGCACACACCUCGCACCGGAGCGCGGAGGCGGUCACGCCGUAAAACGCCCAACUUUCUUAGAGUUGACCUCGGAUCAGGUAGGAAGACCCGCUGAACUUAAGCAUAUCAUAAGCGGAGGA
rnacentral:misc_RNA from 1 species